UCUUCCAGGGAGAAAGGAGCCUGACUGCUUAAGCACCCCUCCAGGCAGGAUGGACAGCGGCUCCAAAUAUCUAACAGAUGUCGUGCUGUACCUCAGGAUGAAUCUAUUAUUGAUUCGGAACUCUUGCUCGGGCUCUUCGCUCUGCAGUGACAACGCUUCCAACCCUUCUGGUCCAAAGCCUCCCAGGGGCCCACCAAUCCACGCUCCUUUGUCAUCUCCCUGACUGAAUAGAAUCUCUCCCUUCUUGGAGAUUGCACAGGAACACAGGAAAGGUUCCAGUGCAGGAUGGAUUUGUGAUAUAAACACCCCAUUCUUUAUGUCCAUUCCUCCAUCAUUAACCUUCCUACUCAGUCCUCGAAAUGAAAAGCCCGGCAUCUUCCAUC